UACGUAGGGUGCGAGCGUUAAUCGGAAUUACUGGGCGUAAAGCGUGCGCAGGCGGUGCUGUAAGACCGAUGUGAAUCCCCGGGCUUAACCUGGGAACUGCAUUGGUGACUGCAGCGCUGGAGUAUGGCAGAGGGGGGUGGAAUUCCACGUGUAGCAGUGAAAUGCGUAGAGAUGUGGAGGAACACCGAUGGCGAAGGCAGCCCCCUGGGCCAAUACUGACGCUCAUGCACGAAAGCGUGGGGAGCAAACAGG
rnacentral:rRNA from 1 species